UACGUAGGGGGCGAGCGUUGUCCGAAGUUACUGGGCGUAAAGCGCGCGUAGGCGGUCUGUUAAGUCUGGUGUGAAAGGUUCAGGGCUCAACCCGAAGAGUGCACUGGAGACUGGCCGACUUGAGUUGGGGAGAGGAGAGUGGAAUUCCUGGUGUAGCGGUGAAAUGCGUAGAUAUCAGGAGGAACACCGAUGGCGAAGGCAGCUCUCUGGCCCCAAACUGACGCUGAGGUGCGAAAGCGUGGGGAGCGAACGGG
rnacentral:rRNA from 1 species